GCAACAGUACAGGCAGGGAAAAGGCUAGUAACGUAGUCCGGGGGAUUAGGCAAUAGGUAGAUAACAGGAAAUCCAACAGGCAAAAGGUGUCGUUAGUGAGGCUGGCAAAAACUAUCAUACAUAGGAGUAACGCACGGAAAACCCAGCGCUCUGAAAGACGUGUCACAAAACAAACAAUACCUCACAGUGAAGGGUUGCAAAGAACUGAACUAAAUGGUGUGUGAUAAUGACAUGCAGGUGAUUAGAAUUCAGGUGAUUGGGAUCUGGAGAGUGAGCUGCGUUCAGGGGAUCUUUGAGGGUAUGAGUUGGAAGCAGAUGUUACACAUAGGGCCCCCAGAUGGGGAUCAGCUUUACAUCCGAGGGGUUUUCUUACUGACCUCCAUCCAAUAACCCUCAAUACACAUCCUAGUGAGGUCAUGAAAUCUAGUGUCUGAUGCACUUCUUUCUAUGCUAACAGUUUGGACAAUGUUUUGUGUUAUGAUAACACGGAGAGGGAAUAUUUUAUCCCUCCCCUCCAGCAAAAACUCCUGAAAUGUGUGAGGUUAUCGCUUCUCAUAUUCCACACCUCGCCCUCCUUUAAAAGCUCCGCACUAUGGGGAGACAGACAGAUCAGAUUCGAAACAACAGAGGAAGGGGAAGAAGGCAACAAGGAACAAGCAACGUUAGUAUAUUACAGUAUGCCAUUUACCAAGAGCGAGGUCUCUCUGGCUGAACACAGUGUGUGUGCCGCUGAGUGUAACCUGACAGAUGAUGUACCAUUGAAGAAUAUCCAGAAGAACACCAUCACAUGGUGGUGCAACAAGCACCUGAAGUGUGUAAACAGGUUCAUAGGUGACCUUCAGUUUGACCUAAACGACGGGCUGACUCUCAUCGCCCUACUGGAGGUCUUGAGCCAUAAGAAGAUGUUCAGGAAGUACCACACCAGGCUCACAUUCAGACAGAUGAGGCUGGAUAAUGUCUCUGCUGCGCUCGAGUUUCUGGAACAGGAGAAUGUCAAGAUGAUGUCCAUAGGUAAGGUGACAUGUUGAAAUGCUCAGGGAUCAUUUUCAGUCUGUCAGCCAGGCCAAGUUAAGGAAGAAGAUAAAGUCACACUUCUUUGGUUACACUUUACAUGAGGUUGCAUGGUUGCAUUGUGCAGAUAGCAUAUUUAUUUUAAAUUUCUAGGUACCAUUACUUCUAAUUAUACAGUAUACAAUUUGGCCAGUUUUCUAUGAUUCAGUUUAGUCUUUGUUUAAUGUACCUCACAGUUACUGUGUACAGUCAUGUCAUUGCACAUGUUGCCACAAUUUUUUUGUUGUUAUAAAAGUGAAGACUAUAGGACUGUUUGAUUUACCCUGGGAGAUGUGCGAUACUGUUUGUGCUAGAUAACACUGGAUCUCCCAUCCAUUCUUGUGGGUAUAAUACGGUGCUGCCUCAACAGACAGUAAGGCCAUCGUGGACGGGAAUAUGAAGCUGAUCUUGGGGUUGGUGUGGAUCCUACACUACUCCAUUCUUCUCAUUUACUGGAGGACGAGGGCCAGGACAAGACCAAGAAACAGACCCCUGAGCUACGGCUGUUGGGUGGAUCCUAGACAAGGUGCACGAACUGCCUAUCACCAACUUCAGCCAGGACUGGCAGAAUGGCAUGGCUCUUGGGACACUGGUGGACGGACUGGCCCCAGGCUUGUGUCCAGACUGGGAGAGCUGGGACGAGGUACAGCAAGUAGACAAUGCCAGAGUGGCCAUGCAGCAGGCUGACGAGUGGCUGGGAGUGCCACAGAUUUCAUUUUAGGUUUUAACUUCUCGGAACAGCCUCUGGAGGGUAAUCUUUUGGCCUACAACAUCAUCGGGCAUGUCAUUGCCCCAGAGAAGAUCAUCGACCCUCGUGAGGAUGAGCAGUCCAUCAUGACUUACCUCUCCAUGUUCCCCAAAGCUCAACUGAAACCUGGAGCCCCCUGUCGUGUCUUUGGCUAUGCCGGAUUAAGUGAUGUGACAUGCUAUUCUAUAAAAUCAUUUCUCCG